UACGGAGGAUGCGAGCGUUAUCCGGAUUUAUUGGGUUUAAAGGGUGCGUAGGCGGGCUAUUAAGUCAGUGGUGAAAUCCUGCAGCUUAACUGCAGAACUGCCGUUGAUACUGAUAGUCUUGAGUUUGGUUAAGGUAGGCGGAAUGUGUAAUGUAGCGGUGAAAUGCUUAGAUAUUACACAGAACACCAAUUGCGUAGGCAGCUUACUGAGCCGACACUGACGCUGAGGCACGAAAGCGUGGGGACCAAACAGGAUUAGA
rnacentral:rRNA from 1 species